rnacentral:tRNA from 1 species
UGCCGUAUAGCGUAAUGGUAGCGCGGUGGGCUCUAACCCCACGUCUGUCUGGGUUCGAGUCCUAGUGCGGUAA